rnacentral:rRNA from 1 species
AAUACGGAGGGUGCAAACGUUGCUCGGAAUCAUUGGGCGUAAAGCGCACGUAGGCGGACCGCUAAGUCGGAUGUGAAAGCCCUCGGCUUAACCGAGGAAGUGCAUUCGAAACUGACAGUCUUGAGUAUGGAAGAGGGUCGCGGAAUUCCCGGUGUAGAGGUGAAAUUCGUAGAUAUCGGGAGGAACACCAGUGGCGAAGGCGGCGACCUGGGCCAAUACUGACGCUGAGGUGCGAAAGCGUGGGGAGCAAACAG